GGGUUGUGAGGUUAAGCGACUAAGCGUACACGGUGGAUGCCCUGGCAGUCAGAGGCGAUGAAGGACGUGCUAAUCUGCGAUAAGCGUCGGUAAGGUGAUAUGAACCGUUAUAACCGGCGAUUUCCGAAUGGGGAAACCCAGUGUGAUUCGUCACACUAUCAUUAACUGAAUCCAUAGGUUAAUGAGGCGAACCGGGGGAACUGAAACAUCUAAGUACCCCGAGGAAAAGAAAUCAACCGAGAUUCCCCCAGUAGCGGCGAGCGAACGGGGAGCAGCCCAGAGCCUGAAUCAGUGUGUGUGUUAGUGGAAGCGUCUGGAAAGGCGCGCGAUACAGGGUGACAGCCCCGUACACAAAAAUGCACAUAUUGUGAGCU
rnacentral:rRNA from 1 species